rnacentral:lncRNA from 1 species
AAUGCAAAUUAAAUGGGCAAUCUAUUCCAAAAGGCAGAUAAUUUGAAUGCUGAGAUUCUUAAUCUUCAAAAGCUUGAAGCUCAAUGAGAGGGUCUUGGCAAACAACAACAUUACUGAUGAUGGCCUUAUUAAGAACCUCUCACAGAAAUCUCUCUCAACAAGAGCUCCUAUGAAAAUAAAAGUCCAGAAUCUAGUGGAUAAGAGAGGGAGAUGCACAUAUCAGGUUUCUUCAUAGAUCCACUAUGAUGCAUAGGAGAAGAAAUAGGAUUAGUUUGAUUCAUAUUGAGCAUGGAGCUCAUAUAGACAGGUUUGAGGAGAUUAGUAAGAUGUUUCUCAACUAUUUUAAGAACCAUAGCCAAAUGACUUGUGGUUACCUGAUCUACCAUCCCAAGUCUUCAAUAACUAAAAUGAGAUGUUGAUGGCACAUGUUAUGGAAGAAGAAAUUGAAGAGGCCUUGAUAUCUAUGAAUCUGGAUAAAGCCCCUGGUCUGGAUAGGUUCCAAUCUUUCUUCUUCCAAGAAGUCUAACUGAUUAUCAAGAGUGUGGUGAUACUAGCCAAUUCUUAUUUCUUUACUAACAAAGCAAUGCCCUUAUUUUGGAACCAGACCUUUAUAACUUUGAGCCCAAAAGAAACUAGGCCUAAAUAUGUGAAGGACUUUAGGCCAAUUAGCCUUUGCAAUACAAUAUAUAAGUUGAUAGCAAAAAUUUUGUUAAAUAGAUUGAGGCCUCUCCUUCCAUCCUUGAUCUCUUUUGAAUAAGGAGCUUUCAGACAAGAUCGUAGCAUCACUGAUGAUGUCUUACUAGCCUAAGAACUAAUGCAUUCUCUCAACAAAACUCUUAGUUCAUGAAGUUUGAUGUUGAUUAAGCUGGAUAUGGAGAUGCCUAUGAUAAAAUCCAAUGGUAUUAUCUCUGUUCGGUGCUAAAGCAUUUCAACUUUUGUCAUAUUUUCAUAAACUAGAUUUUGGCUUGUGUAAAAACCUAGUCUUAAUUUGCUGUUCUAUUAAAUGGCAGCCCAACUAAAUAGUUUUCUUCUAGGUGUAGGCUAAGGUGAUGCCAUCCUCUAUUACAAUUCCUAUUUAUUCUUUUCUAUGAAAUGUUGAUCCUUACUUUAUAGGCUGCAAUUCACUCCAGUCUUUAAUUUGAGAGCUUUUAGACCAAGGCAAAGGGGUCCUUAUAUUUUUUACUAUUUGUAGAUGACUGCCUUCUAAUAUCUAAAGCAAUAGUCAGGGAUGUUUUAUGCUUAAAAAUUAUCUUGGAUGCUUAUUGCUUUCAUUUUGGAUAGGUUAUCAGUAAAUCUACGUCUCAUAUUACUUUAAGUCCCACAACACCAGGUUCUAUCAAGCAUCGGAUUAUAGCAGUCUUUCAAAUGUCGGUUAAGUAGCAGAAUUGCACCUAUUUAGGUAUUUCAUUGUUAGGUAUGAGAUUAGCUGCUUUUGAUUUCAAUUAUUUAUUGAACAAGGUGUUGCAGAAGUUGCAGCAUAGAAGUGGAAGGCUUUAUCCUAUAUUGAAAGAGCAACCCUUUUGCAGCCUUUUCUUUUAUUGAUGUCUUUGUAUGCUAUGACUUCAGUUUCUAUAUCUUAUCGGGUGCUCCAUGGAUUGGUAAAGGAGUUUAGAGCCUUUCUUUAGGUCCAUCCUUCAGAUAGAAGGAGUCUGCAUGUUAUUUCUUGGGCUGAUAUAUGUUUGGUAAAAGAAUCAGGUGGGCUUAGUUUGUGUUCUCUAUAGGAACAAUAAUAAGUUUUAUUCGAUAAAAUAGCUAUGAACUUAGCCUUGCAUCCCCAGACUUUAUGGGCUACUAUGAUGCAGGUUAAACAUAGAUUUAUGGGUUGUUGGGAAUCUUAUACUCAGCCUAAAAAUUCAUCUAUUAUCUGAAAAAGGUCUAAAGAUGGGAUUUCGAAUAUAAUAUCAUUUUCGAUGGAUGCUGAAAGACCAUGGUUAUCCACGGUGCCACUAAUUUGAUGGCCUAUUUUUCUCAAUAUGCAGCAUGACCCUUCUCAAUUCCAAGUUUCUUAUUUCAUUACUUAAGAUAGAAAUUAGAAUUUAGAAAGUUUAGUUGCUUGCUUCAAUUCUGAAAUAAUAUCUACUAUUUGUAAAACCAUAUUGCAACAGGAGAUUGGAUUGCUCAGUUGUGAUGGGGCCUCUCAAAUUCUCAAACUAUCACUGCAAAAGAUAUGUACCUUGCUCUUCACUUGCUUCCUUCACUUCAAUCUGUUGUUGGUUUCAAUUGAGUUUAAGAACUUCUAGUUCCUCUCUGAGUAAAGUUCUUUUGAUUGAAAUUAUUUUGGUCGAGGCUUCCAUGCAAAUUUAUCUUGAUCCAUUGGGGGGUCUUUCAGUUAAUGAUUUUUAUCAUGACCUUUGUGUAGGGGAUUCAAGAAGAUUGUCAACAUGCUAUUAUUUCUUAUUCAUUCGUUAACCAAUGUUUGAUUAAAUUAGCCAGUAAUGCAAGCUAUCAAUUGUCUCCAAUUCUUUGCCGGUACUAGUGACAAAGUUUUGAGGUGCCUUGGCAAAGGAGGGGACUAAGGCUAAGAUGGCUUAUUUAGUAUGGUUAAUCUAGUUUUCUAGGAUUCUAAGUUAAUUCAUCAUGAACGUUUAUCUCUUGAUCAUGUGAUCAGAUGUGUCCACUAUUGCUCUUGGGUUAUUCUUGAUUGAUCAUCUCUCAAAUCUUACAUUCAUUCAAAGCACUGAGAUAGUCUUAGCUUGUUAUGUCAGCAGUUGGAUCCCAAAAAUAUCAUUAGCUGCCUCCCUCCUUUUGAAUGCUGAAGAUUAAUUUUGAUACUACUGUUCAGAACUCUAUUGCUACUACAAAGUUCAUUAUUAGAGAUAGGGAAGGCAUGCUCUUCUUAGCUAUUAGCAAAAAUCUGUUGUCUUCUUCUAUAACCCAAGCUAAAUUAAUUGGGCUUGGCUUGGUUUGUAUUAUGCUUACCAUUUCUUUCUAGGAAGUCAGUUUUGGUUAUAGGGGGACUCUCUUUCUAUCAUCCAAUAGAUCACUCACAAUCCUAUUUAGAUGGCCGGUCUUAAUUCUUUGCUAUAGGAUAUCAAAUACUAGUAGUUUUUGCAACAAAAUUUAAAAGUCUCUCACACUCACUAAAAGGGUAAUAAAGCAGCAGACUUGCUAGCAUGAUAAGCACCUCAGGAAGACUAUAUCAUCCAUAAGGGAGACACAAUCCACCCAGAACUCCUCCAAAUUCUAAUGAUAGAUAUUGAUGGAAUAAAUGGUCAUCAAUAAAGAACAUAGGGGCUAAUCAUUCACCAGAUAUAGAGUCAAAAAUUAUUGCAUUAGAGGAGGAUAGCAUAGUUUCGAGCAACCAAGCUUCAUCAAAAUCGACAGCUUCGACAUCAACAAUAGCCCUAGCUAAGGGGGCUUGGAGGAUAGUGAUAACAACUUAGAGUAGCGUGCCAGCUUCAACAAAAGAUAUGCUAUCCAUAUAGACUCAAAAAGUUGAGGGGGUUGUUGAGAAAAAAUCGCUAUAUAAAGGUACUGAUACUAUUUCUCAUCACCUACAAUUUAACAUGCUGAAGUAAAAAUUGUUAGAGUUAGAAGGCAGCCAGCCUAAAGGCUCCAUGAUGCCAACAAUCUCUACUCAAGGUGAGUCCUUGAUAAGGAGGAUGGCUAUUUGGUGAGUAUCCCGAUAGUGUACAGUAGGUUGUGUUUACGGGGGUGGGGUGUUGGAUUCUUCUAUAUCUAAGGAAUGAAGACACAAUGCUGGGACUCUAGAGGUGAUGCAAAAUCUCCUUUCAAGAAGCCUUCUAGAUCCUUGAUCGCUAAAUUUGCUCCAACUAUUUAUUAUUUUUUGGAAACUAGGCUCUUAGAAAACUCAUUGCUGCAUGUCAGAAGAUUAAUGGGCACUAUAUGGGGUCAUUAUAUGAUAUUUACAGUGGAUUUGUUUGGAGAAUUAUUGUUGCCUAGUAAAAAGAUGUGAAAGUGAAUUUUUUUCACACUAAUCUAUAAGUAGCUUUCGGCUUAAUAUCUCCUUUCUGGGGCCCAUUGUGGGUGCUUGGAAUUAUAAAUGCGAGUACCAACAGCAUACAUAGGAGGGUGCUUUAGGACCUAGUGCUUUUUGUUCUCUCUAUGGUUUGCCACUUGUUUUAGUUGGGACUUUAAUAUCUUAUUCCAUGUUUGUGAUAAGAAAUAUGGCAAAUCCUUUAAAGUUGAUAGGGAUAUAAAAUUGCUUUCGAGCCUUUAUUCGAAGUUCUGGUUGGAUUGAUUUGGGUUUUGAAGGGCCAUGCUUUGCCUGGUGUAACAAUAGGUUUGGGUUGGGUUGGAUCGAGAAAUGCAUCGAUUGAGCCUUUGUGAUUGACUCUUGCUGAAUCUAUUUUCUAAGCCAAAGGUCCACCAUUUGAUUAGGUUUUCUUUUGAUCACUAUCCUCUUUUUUAAUCUAUGGAUUAAAGUAGACGUAGAGAUUAAUAUCUUUUUAGAUUUAAAAAAUUCUGCAUGUAGUGUGGGGGUAUCCAAAAUAUUGUUAAGAAUGCUUGGAGGGGUGGUUCUUACCUUGAAGGUUCUCCUAUUUACUGAAUAGGGUCAAACAAGCUAUUAGAUGUUGGAAUAAAUGCAAAUUAAAUAGGCAAUCUAUUCCAGAAGGCAGGUAAUCUGAAUGCUGAGAUUCUUAAUCUUCAAAAGCUUAAAGCUCAAUGAGAGGGUCUUGACCAACAACAACAUUACCGAUGAUGGCCUUAUUAAGAACCUCUCACAGAAAUCUCUCUCAACAAGAGCUCUUAUGGAAACAAAAGUCCAUAAUCUAGUGGAUAAGAGAGGGAGAUGCACAUAUCAGGUUUUUUCAUAGAUCCACUAUGAUGUAGAGGAGAAGAAAUAGGAUCAGUUUGAUUCAUACUGAGCAUGGAGCUCAUAUAGACAGGUUUGAGGAGAUUAGUAAGGUGUUUCUCAACUAUUUUAAGAACCAUAGCCAAAUGACUUGUGGUUACCUGAUCUACCAUCUCAAGUCUUCAAUAACUAAAAUGAGGUGUUGAUGGCACAUGUCAUGGAAGAAGAAAUUGAAGAGGCCUUGACAUCUAUGAAUCUGGAUAAAGCCCCUGGUCUGGAUAGGUUCCAAUAUUUCUUCUUCCAAGAAGUCUAACUGAUUAUCAAGAGCGUGGUGAUUCUAGCUAAUUCUUAUUUCUUUACUAACAAAGCAAUGUCCUUAUUUUGGAACCAGACCUUUAUAACUUUAAGCCCAAAAGAAACUAGGCCUAAAUAUGUGAAGGACUUUAGGCCAAUUAGCCUUUGCAAUACAAUCUAUAAGUUGAUAGCAAAAAUUUUGUUGAAUAGAUUGAGGCCUCUCCUUCCAUCCUUGAUCUCCUUUGAAUAAGGAGCUUUCAUGCAAGGCCAUAGCAUCACCAAUGAUGUCUUACUAGCCUAAGAACUAAUGCAUUCUCUCAACAAAACUCUUAGUUCAUGAAGUUUGAUAUUGAUUAAGCUGGA